CCUACGGGUCGCACCAGUGGGGAAUCUUGCGCAAUGCGCGAAAGCGUGACGCAGCAACGCCGCGUGGAGGAAGACGGCCUUCGGGUUGUAAACUCCUUUCAGUUGGGACGAAGCUUCACUGGUUAAGAGCUGGUUGGAGUGACGGUACCUUAGAAGAAGCCCCGGCUAACUACGUGCCAGCAGCCGCGGUAAUACGUAGGGGGCAAGCGUUGUCCGGAAUCAUUGGGCGUAAAGCGCGUGUAGGCGGCCUUGUAAGUCCGUUCUGAAAGUCCGGGGCUCAACCCCGGGAGGCGGAUGGAUACUGCAAGGCUCGAGUACGGAAGAGGCGAGUGGAAUUCCCGGUGUAGCGGUGAAAUGCGCAGAUAUCGGGAGGAACACCAAUGGCGAAGGCAGCUCGCUGGGACGUUACUGACGCUGAGACGCGAAAGCGUGGGGAGCAAACAGGAUUAGAUACCCCAGUAGUC
rnacentral:rRNA from 1 species